rnacentral:rRNA from 1 species
UACGGGAGGCAGCAGUGAGGAAUAUUGGUCAAUGGGCGAGAGCCUGAACCAGCUAAGUAGCGUGCAGGAUGACGGCCCUAUGGGUUGUAAACUGCUUUUAUGCGGGGAUAAAGUGGGGGACGUGUCCCUUUUUGCAGGUACCGCAUGAAUAAGGACCGGCUAAUUCCGUGCCAGCAGCCGCGGUAAU